GAUGAACGCUGGCGGCGUGCCUAAUACAUGCAAGUCGAACGAGGUGCUUUUGUAGCAAUACGAAAGUAUCCUAGUGGCGAACGGGUGAGUAACGCGUUGGUGACCUGCCCCAAAGUGUGGGAUAACAGUCCGAAAGGAUUGCUAAUACCGCAUGUGGCCAUCGGGUUUAGAAACCGAUGUCUAAAGCAGCAAUGCGCUUUGGGAGGGACCUGCGUCCCAUCAGCUAGUUGGUGAGGUAACGGCCCACCAAGGCGACGACGGGUAGGGGGCCUGAGAGGGUGGCCCCCCACAAUGGAACUGAAACACGGUCCAUACACCUACGGGUGGCAGCAGUAGGGAAUAUUGCACAAUGGGCGAAAGCCUGAUGCAGCAACGCCGCGUGAGCGAUGAAGGCCUUCGGGUCGUAAAGCUCUUUUCUGGGAGAUGAGAAAGGACAGUAUCCCAGGAAUAAGUCUCGGCUAACUACGUGCCAGCAGCCGCGGUAAGAC
rnacentral:rRNA from 1 species